rnacentral:rRNA from 1 species
UGGGGAAUUUUGGACAAUGGGGGCAACCCUGAUCCAGCCAUGCCGCGUGAGUGAAGAAGGCCUUCGGGUUGUAAAGCUCUUUCGGCAGGAACGAAACGGCGAGCUCUAACAUAGCUUGCUAAUGACGGUACCUGAAGAAGAAGCACCGGCUAACUACGUGCCAGCAGCCGCGGUAAUACGUAGGGUGCGAGCGUUAAUCGGGAUUACUGGGCGUAAAGCGUGCGCAGGCGGUUAUAUAAGACAGAUGUGAAAUCCCCGGGCUCAACCUGGGACCUGCAUUUGUGACUGUAUAGCUAGAGUACGGUAGAGGGGGAUGGAAUUCCGCGUGUAGCAGUGAAAUGCGUAGAUAUGCGGAGGAACACCGAUGGCGAAGGCAGCCUCCUGGGCCAGUACUGACGCUCAUGCACGAAAGCGUGGGGAGCAAACA